GAUGAACGCUGGCGGCGUGCCUAAUACAUGCAAGUCGAGCGAACGGACGAUAAGCUUGCUUCUCUGCUGUUAGCGGCGGACGGGUGAGUAACACGUGGAUCACCUACUUAUAAUACUGGGAUAACUUCGGGAAACCGGAGCUAAUACCGCAUAAUAUUUUGAACCGCAUGGUUCAAAAGUGAUAGACGGUCUUGCUGUCACUUAUAGAUGAAUCCGCGCUGCAUUAGCUAGUUGGUAAGGUAACGGCGUACCAAGGCAACGAUGCGUAGCCGACCUGAGAGGAUGAUCGGCCACACUGGAACUGAGACACGGUCCAGACUCCUACGGGAGGCAGCAGUAGGGAAUCUUGCGCAAUGGGCGAAAGCCUGACGGAGCAACGCCGCGUGAGUGAUGAAGGUCUUCGGAUCGUAAAGCUCUGUUAUUAGGGAAGAACAUAUGUGUAAGUAACUGUGCACAUCUUGACGGUACCUAAUCAGAAAGCCACGGCUAACUACGUG
rnacentral:rRNA from 1 species